UCUAUUUUUUGUUUUUGCAAAUACACUAUAAAUUUCAAACUUUAAACUUUAUAAAUAUAAGAGAAAAGGCAAACUAAACAUACAGUUCAGUUUUGUUUCUAUUUUUUCUGGAUUUUUAAAACAUUUUUCACCAACUUGUUUAAAGAAAGGCAUAUGACUUUUUUAGUACAUUUAAUGAUUAUGAAUAGUAUAAUAGGUACAUCUUCCUGUUUUUUUAUUACUGUUAUUUUUUAACACUUCUCUUCUGUAGAUUCUUGGAAUUAUAGGUAUGAAAGGACUCUUAACCAAAUCAGCUUCAUUUGAAGUUGGAAGAAUUGAGGUUUCUAGUCAGAUUUAAUGGAAAUUUCUUUCUUCUAAAACUAACUUACUUUCUGAGGGAAAGUUACAUGCUCAGAGGGAAAUUGUAUGCUCAGUGUCACAUAGUAAGUGACACAUCUUAUAAGUAGAAUCUAAGUCUUAUUAAGACAUUUCAUUUGCUUUUUGUAUCACACUGUGUUGCUUUUGAAUAUUUUGCCUGUUUUGUUUGGAUAUAGCCCACAAGGUGGUAUUUCAUGAGACAUUUAAAUUCAUAUUAUAAUCUACCCUGUUAACCUGAAGUGCAGGAUACUAAUCCUGUAUUAAAAACCUUAAGUAUGUUAAGCUUCAAGUUUAUUCUUUUUUCUAAAAUGAUACUACUCACAAUGCCAUUUCUUAAGUGAAAGACAAUGUUGAAUAAUAGCUUAAAGCUCCAACUGUUGAGUCAAACAGGCCUGGUUUUGAAACAUUUUUAUUAGUUCUUUGACCUUAGGCAGAUUACUUACCUUGUGUAAGUCUUCAUUUUCUUAACCGUAAAAAUGAGAAAAAUAACACCUCACAAAGUUGUCCUUGGGACUAAAUAGAAUUAUUAGUAUCCAUGCUAAUUUUUUCAAAAGUCCAUUCUUCAUAAAAUUUUCUGUUGACACUUCAGUGAACUGAAGUUUGGAUGUUUGGGUUUUUUUGUUUGUUUGUUCUUAAUAACAUCAAUGCUAUUUGUUUUUUAAUAACAUCAGUGUUAAAUAAAACCCAAGUACAUAUCAGUUUCUACGUCUUAGAAUAUUAACCAAUGUUUAAGGUUUUAUUGUUGCAGUCAGUGUAGUAUAAAAUUAUACUAACAUUCCUGGUAAUAGUUCUCUGAAGUCUCUCUCCUUGAGAAAAUACCAGCAUACUAGUAUUAACAUAUAAUUAGUGGAAUAUCAUCUUUUGAAAAUUACCAUACAAGUGGUUCUUGAUAAAAUAACAUGUAUACAUGGUACUGUCAGAGACCUUACCUGAUAUGGAGUGUAAGGAUGAUUUGUGAAGAUACUAUUGUCUGGCCAGAUUAGAAUGAUGAAGUAAGAAUUGGACUCUUCCUUUGAUCUCGUCAGAAUGAUCUUUCUAUAAAUAUCUCUUCCCAAUUGAAUAACAUCCUAUAUCCUAAAGAAAAAACUCUCUAAGUGGUCUGGUUCUACUUCUUCAGUUACACCUUCUUUCCAUAAAUUUCCCCCAUGCACACAUCAGGUAACUGUACUAAGCUAAUAGCGCUUAAUCAAAAGUAUCAGUUUACACCUGUCUGUCAUUACAUCUUAAUGUCACUGCCUUGGUCCUCAAACCAGCAGCAGCAGCAUCACCUCAGAACUUGUUAGGAAUGCAAAUUAUUAGGUCUCCCCAUAGACAUAAUUACCAGUCUGUGUUUUAACAAGCCUUCCAGGAGGUUCUGAUACACACUUAAGUUGAGAACCACUGUUUUGACUGAAUUCCCUUUCCUUCUACCAUUUUACCAGUUGCCCUUCACUCUUAACUCACACAUCAAACAUUAUCUCUUCAAAGAAGCCUUCCCUGGCCACCCUCAUCUCUUAUUUGGUACCUUUCUUUUAUAAUUUUUGACCCUGCGGUUAGACCUGAUGUCCGUACUCUAAUUUCUCUCAACUUUAAGGUUUUUUCUUUUUUUCAGAAUCUAUACUUGACUGCUGCACAGAAACACCUGACUGGGCCCACUAUAUUUUAAUAAGAAGUUAAUUUUAUUCUAAAUAUUCUAACUUUGUCUCUUAACAAAUAGUAAUAAUUUUUACCAUAGAACACAUUUUUAAGACACAUAUUUUACCUCAGAUGAGCAAUUCUUUGGUUGGGGAGAGGGGAUUCUUUGGUUUAUAUUUUAAAAGUUUUGAUGUGCAAAUUUAAUUACGAGAUUUUUUUUCACUACCUUGCAUAGUG